rnacentral:misc_RNA from 1 species
UCUGCCCUUCGCGUCACAUGCGGGUAAAAUUCCGGUGGCCUUAAGCAAUUCCGAGGGAGCUGGCUCUGUUUGGGCCGUGGUCCACUUACCCGGCGCCCACCUGUAUAUACAGGUCCUCGGGAAUUCAGACCCCGACGGUCGCGGUGGGGCCGCC